CAAAAGGUAGUUUAUAUAAAAUAUUAAUUUUGGAGAUUAAUGAUAAGUUUAUUCUUUCUUUUGA
rnacentral:tRNA from 1 species